UACGUAGGGGGCAAGCGUUGUCCGGAAUCAUUGGGCGUAAAGAGCGUGUAGGCGGCCAGACAGGUCCACUGUGAAAACUCGAGGCUCAACCUCGAGAGGUCGGUGGAAACCGUCUGGCUAGAGUCCGGAAGAGGAGAGUGGAAUUCCCGGUGUAGCGGUGAAAUGCGCAGAUAUCGGGAAGAACACCCGUGGCGAAGGCGGCUCUCUGGGACGGUACUGACGCUGAGACGCGAAAGCGUGGGGAGCGAACAGG
rnacentral:rRNA from 1 species